AGGAAGUAGGAAGAAGAAAGAGUGAGAGAAGAGGAUAUAAGCGAAUAAGAUAGAAGGAAUUAGAAAAAAAAAGAAAUGAAAACAAAAGCUCUCGAUCAGUUAUUCGAAUUAAAAGCAAAACAAAACGGAAAGGAACGACGGAACGAAAUGAAACGAAACGAAACGGAACGGAACGAAGGAAAAGAUAAGAAAAACAAAAAAGAAACGUUAAUAGAAGAGAUGGAAAAAGAGAAAAAGAAAAGAAAAGAAAGGGGGAAAGAGAGAGAGAGAGAGAGAGAGAAAAAAAGAAAAAAAGAACAGAAGAAACAAGAAUGUAAAAAAAAAAAAAGAAAAAGAUAUAUCGAUUACUUACCAUUAGGAUACGGAUUGGUAUAGUAACUGUAGAAUGUGAAAUCAUCGGUGAAUAAUCGCUUAAGUUCCUCCUGCAAGCUUGGAUUGAAAGGGAAAAAGCAAUUUCCCGAAACUUGAAGCAUUGGUAGUUGCCUCGAUUUAACACAGAACAUCGUGGCUUUUAUCAUCGAAUAUUUCUUUCUUUCUUUCUUUUUUUUUUCUUUUUUUAUAUAUCUCUUCGAUACAAGAUUAAAUUCGUAUACCUAUAUAUACGUAUUAAUUUGUGUAUAUAUGUAUAUAUAUAUAUAUAUAUACAUAUACUGUAUAUAUACGUUUCUAUGUACGUAUAUAUGUAACGCGUGUAUUUGUGAGAGAUAUGUGUCAAUGUAUCGUUAAAAUCGAUGUAUAUAUGUUAUUCUCACGCUCGUAAAUUUGUAAGUUUGUGCGCGAAUGCGCGCGUAUAUCUGCGAGUGUGUUCCCCGUGCGUAUGUGAGUGUAAAUGUACGUGGCGAACGUGAAUAUAUAUCUAUAUGUGUAUAUAUAUAUAUAUAUAUGUGUGUGCGUGUGUAUGUUAAGUGUCGCACGAUUUACACUAUCGAAAAACUUUCACCCGAGCUUGACGACUUUUCCAGUUCGACUGAAGAGAGUGAGAGCAGGGAUGUCAUCGGCGAUUGGAAGAAGAAAGGAUCUAGUGGUGGGGGUUAGGGUGCUGUCGUUGGGCCUACGAACUGAUGGAAGAAAAAAAGCGCCUUAUUUGAAUCCACUGGUUUUGAUUUGACAUGCUUAGAAUUAAGGUGAUCACUUGGCUUGAAUUGAACAACAAGAGAAAUUUGCAAAAAAGAAAAAAAGAAAUAAAAGAUUGAUUUCUAUACAAGAUAUAACUUGCAAUAAAAAAAAAAAAAAGGAAGAAAAACA